rnacentral:lncRNA from 1 species
GAAAAUCAUGAAAAACUAAAGGGAGGUUAUCUUAAUAGAUAUAAACCAGUCACCAAAGUUUUAUGAUAACUGCUCAAAGCAUUGUCCGAAAACUGGAAAGUCCUCCCUUUUUUAUGAAUAAAAUCACGUAACUCUGAAACUUAACAUCUAAAAUUUAUAAAAUUAAAAAGGGAGCUUACGUCAAUAGAUAUAAACAAUUCACCAAAGUUUCAUAAAAACUGCUGAAAGCAUUUUUGAGUUAUUGUCCGAAAACUGGAAAAUCACCCCUUUUUACAUAAAUAAAACCCCA